AUAAAACACCCAUAAAUAUCUAAACAUCCACCAGAAAUAAAAACCACCUACUGAUCUAAACUGUUUAAUACCUGAUGAUCCACUAAUUCUAUCAAUACAUGUAAAUAAUUGGUGUAAAAUACAGUUAUUAAUUUUUUCAUGGUCAUCAG